AUGCGUCUCGGGGCCACGGCUUCAUACACACACCACACUUGUCUUAUCCCCCGUCUGCUUUUUCCCCGGUCCAAGAAGAGGCUAGCUCAACCCCAGACACACACACGCGCUCGCACACCCUCGCUCAAACACAGUGAAAUAGGGCGGUUCAGAGGACGGAAACAUUCUGUGAAGUAUACACAGCAUGGUUUCUGUGGAUGGCCUGCGUGUCUUCAGCAGCGGCAGAAUCCUCUGAGGAACUGGCCUGACUCAUCUGCAUCUGUGACAGGUAAGAAAAGAAACCAAACAACUCACAGUAAGACAAGCAGAGAGCUGCCCUGCACAAUGCACCCUAUUUUUUCCCCCUUUUUUUUUUUUUUUUUUGCAUUGACUAGAUAUUCAUUUUCACACCUCACUUCUCCAUAUUUAUGAUUGCCCAUGAGAACAUUUUUUAUUUAUGCUGACUUCUUUCAUAAACUGGACAGCGGUUUCUUUUUUCUCCAUGUGUGUCAAAACAAUCUCUGAUUUAUAAUUUAUGUGAUUUAUGAUCGCUAUAAGCUAUCAAAAAGUGUCAAAAGAAAAGUUUUUU
ensembl:lncRNA